GACGAACGCUGGCGGCGUGCUUAACACAUGCAAGUCGAACGGUGAAGCGCCUUCCUUUUUGGUGGGUGUGGAUGAGUGGCGAACGGGUGAGUAACACGUGAGUAACCUGCCCCCUUCUUCUGGAUAACCGCAUGAAAGUGUGGCUAAUACGGGAUAUUCUGGGUCUGUCGCAUGAUGGGUCUGGGAAAGAUAUUGUUUCGGUGGGGGAUGGGCUCGCGGCCUAUCAGCUUGUUGGUGGGGUGAUGGCCUACCAAGGCGGUGACGCGUAGCCGGCCUGAGAGGGUGGACGGUCACACUGGGACUGCGACACGGCCCAGACUCCUACGGGAGGCAGCAGUGGGGAAUAUGGCACAAUGGGCGCAAGCCUGAUGCAGCGACGCCGCGUGAGGGAUGGAGGCCUUCGGGUUGUGAACCUCUUUCGCCAGUGAAGCAGGCCUGCCUCGUUUGUGGGUGGGUUGACGGUAGCUGGAGAAGAAGCGCCGGCUAACUACGUG
rnacentral:rRNA from 1 species